CGACCUGCACGAAUGGCGUAACGAUGGGGGCGCUGUCUCCACCCGAGACUCAGUGAAAUUGAAAUCGCUGUUAAGAUGCAGUGUAUCCGCGGCUAGACGGAAAGACCCCGUGAACCUUUACUACAGCUUCACACUGGACUUUGAGCUUGCUUGUGUAGGAUAGGUGGGAGGCUUUGAAGCGGUGACGCCAGUUACCGUGGAGCCAACCUUGAAAUACCACCCUGGCAAGUUUGAGGUUCUAACCUAGGCCCGUUAUCCGGGUCAGGGACCGUGUGUGGUGGGUAGUUUGA
rnacentral:rRNA from 12 species